rnacentral:rRNA from 1 species
GAUGAACGCUGGCGGCGUGCCUAAUACAUGCAAGUCGAGCGAACAGACGAGGAGCUUGCUCCUCUGACGUUAGCGGCGGACGGGUGAGUAACACGUGGAUAACCUACCUCUAAGACUGGGAUAACUUCGGGAAACCGGAGCUAAUACCGGAUCAUAUAUUGAACCGCAUGGUUCAAUAGUGAAAGACGGUUUUGCUGUCACUUAUAGAUGGAUCCGCGCCGCAUUAGCUAGUUGGUAAGGUAACGGCUUACCAAGGCAACGAUGCGUAGCCGACCUGAGAGGGUGAUCGGCCACACUGGAACUGAGACACGGUCCAGACUCCUACGGGAGGCAGCAGUAGGGAAUCUUCCGCAAUGGGCGAAAGCUUGACGGAGCAACGCCGCGUGAGUGAUGAAGGUCUUCGGAUCGUAAAACUCUGUUAUUAGGGAAGAAAAAAUGUGUAAGUAACUAUGCACGUCUUGACGGUACCUAAUCAGAAAGCCACGGCUAACUACGUG